AUUGAACGCUGGCGGCAGGCCUAACACAUGCAAGUCGAACGAGUGGCGGACGGGUGAGUAAUGUCUGGGAAACUGCCUGAUGGAGGGGGAUAACUACUGGAAACGGUAGCUAAUACCGCAUACCAUCAGAUGUGCCCAGAUGGGAUUAGCUAGUAGGUGGGGUAAAGGCUCACCUAGGCGACGAUCCCUAGCUGGUCUUAGAGGAUGACCUGCAACACUGGGACUGAGACACGGUCCAGACUCCUACGGGAGGCAGCAGUGGGGAAUAUUGCACAAUGGGCGCGAGCCUGUUGCAUCCAUGCCGCGUGUAUGAAGAGGGCCUGCGGGUUGUAAAGUACUUUCAGCGGGGAGGGGUACCCCGCAGAAGAAACACCGGCUAACUCCGUGCCAGCCGCCGCGGUAAUUG
rnacentral:rRNA from 1 species